GAUUUUCUGACUUAGGUCUGGAGCGGAACCUGAUAAUUUGCAUUCCUAACAAGUUUCAGGUGAUGUGAAUUCUAUGAUCUGUGUCCACACAUUUUUAAAAGCCACUGCUCUAGACUCUGCUAAGAUGCCUGAGUGUUUCUCCACUUGCCCUCUCUUCCACCUCCUUACAUCUAGACCAGACUUCUCUGAGCCCAAAAGGACUAGAAGUUGCAGGUCCUUCUAGUUGUGGUAUGCUGCCUCUGCAUGGCCUGACGAGUGGUAGCCUGUCUGCUCCCAGGAUCCAAACUGGUGAAACCCUGGGCCACCAAAGCGGAGCAUGCGAACUUAACCACUUGGCCACCUGGCCGGGCCCAGAUAAUAGCCAUUCUAGAGUUGCUCAGCUAAUUUUGGGGCUCCUUUUAGAAGAAAUUGUUUCAUAUGUAGCUGUAGAUUCUGUGGCUUCAUGCAAAGAGUCCUCUGUCUCUUCUGAUACAAAUAUUUCAUCAGAUCAAAAGGAUGGCCAGAGGCUACUGUGUUCAAUCCAGAAAUCUGCAGGAGAUAGUGCCUGGGCCUGGAAAGCAGCUCUGCUCCUCAGGAACAUCUGCUCACAGAAAAUGAUCAGAGAGAACGUUGACACGAGUCAUGCAAACUACCACGGACAUGCUGGGGUCCAAAGGCAUUAAAUUUGAAAGAGACAGUUCCAGAAUGCCUGCUUGUCGGGAGGAGGAGGUGGAGCUAGGUUGUAAGUACGUUUUGGCCUCCAUAUCUGUAACCUGGACAAGUUCUCUCUCUGGCUCAGGAGGAGAAGGCAAUGGAAUCAAGCCUGCCAAGACUAUAAAAGCUUUUUCAAGACUGUGAUCUGUUAGAUAAACAAUUUUCCUUCUGCUCCUCAUUCCAUAAAUCCACGCUGACUCUGACUGAUUUUUGUGUGUAUCUCAGAAUAUAAAAUCUUCUACUAACCACAAAGUAAUGGGACCUAUUCAUCUAAUUGAUCACCCCUCCACGGUACAAAUAUCCAAAGCAAUGAAGUAAGAGGAGGAAUGCAGAGCUGAGAAAGAUUAGCAGAGCUAUUGCACUUGUUGAAAUCAGUCAGUGAAUAAGAUACUCGCUUUUUAAAGAAAUAUAUAUUUUUAGGUUUAAAAAAAUGAUAGAAGUGUUAGUGUUAAAGGUUUUCUUCAAGACAUUGAAGAAAAGACAUUUUCAUUGCUUUUUCUUUUUACUUUGGAGAUACCAUAUUUUCCUCCUCUUAGGACUUCUUAGCACACUUAUCUUUAAUCCAGAGAGAGUCAGAAUUGUGCAAAAUAAAGAAGUAUACCCUGACAUACAUCAACAUGGAGCUUUUUCCUUUGGGAUUCUCCCCUGCAUUUGCAUAGACACAGUUUAUUGUAGUUGCUUUAUAAGAAGGUAAGUAAAUAAAGUCAGUUUGCAUAAGGAAUGUCUUGCACAACUUUUCGUUGUGAUGCUCACUUCCUAUCUCCCAUUCCUUCUCAUCCUCUCAAAAUCAAGCAAUAAAAAUUGAACUUUAGUUCAAUUCGAACUCUUUAGAAGAGUUUAGUUAAUUUUAUUUUAGAUUUUGAAUUUCUUUAGUAAUUAUUUCAAAAAUAGGUGGAGCACAGGGCUUAUUUGGUUUUUAACACCCAAAGGAUCCUGGGCUUUUUAAAGCUCUUUGUAUAUUUAAGUAGUAUUGUCGUUCUUAAGGUCAACAGAAUACCAGUGGUUUAAAAUCCAUGAAACCCUAGUGACCUGUCAAUUUGUAGGCCAUUUAGCCAGGUAUAGAAUGAGUUAAAAGCCCGUCUAUAAACAGUCUACCCAAAUAGAGUGU
rnacentral:lncRNA from 1 species